ACUGCUCAGUAACACGUGGCCAAACUACCCUUCGGACCACAAUACCCUCGGGAAACUGAGGCUAAUAGUGGAUACCACAGUUCACCUGGAAUGAGAACUGUGCCAAAUGCUCCGGCGCCGAAGGAUGUGGCUGCGGCCGAUUAGGUAGACGGUGGGGUAACGGCCCACCGUGCCAAUAAUCGGUACGGGUCAUGAGAGUGAGAGCCCGGAGACGGAAUCUGAGACAAGAUUCCGGGCCCUACGGGGCGCGGCAGGCGCGAAACCUUUACACUGCACGACAGUGCGAUAAGGGAAUCCCAAGUGCGUAGGCAUAGAGCCUACGCUUUUGUCCACCGUAGGGAGGUGGACGAAUAAGGGCUGGGCAAGACCGGUGCCAGCCGCCGCGGUAAUACCGGCAGCCCGAGUGAUGGCCGAUCUUAUUGGGCCUAAAGCGUCCGUAGCUGGCCGCGCAAGUCUAUCGGAAAAUCCACCCGCUCAACGGGUGGGCGUCCGGUAGAAACUGCGUGGCUUGGGACCGGAAGGCGCGACGGGUACGUCCGGGGUAGGAGUGAAAUCCUGUAAUCCUGGACGGACCGCCGAUGGCGAAAGCACGUCGCGAAGACGGAUCCGACAGUGAGGGACGAAAGCUAGGGUCUCGAACCGGAUUAGAUACCCGGGUAGUCCUAGCCGUAAACAAUGCCUGCUAGGUGUGGCUCCCACUACGAGUGGGUGCUGUGCCGUAGGGAAGCCGCUAAGCAGGCCGCCUGGGAAGUACGUCCGCAAGGAUGAAACUUAAAGGAAUGGCGGGGGAGCAC
rnacentral:rRNA from 1 species